rnacentral:rRNA from 1 species
ACUCAAAGGAAUUGACGGGGACCCGCACAAGCGGUGGAGCAUGUGGUUUAAUUCGACGCAACGCGAAGAACCUUACCAGGGCUUGACAUCCCUCGCUAUCCGUGGAAACAUGGAGUUUAGACCUUCGGGUCUAACGAGGAGACAGGUGGUGCAUGGUUGUCGUCAGCUCGUGUCGUGAGAUGUUGGGUUAAGUCCCGCAACGAGCGCAACCCCUACUUUUAGUUGCCAUCAUUAAGUUGGGCACUCUAGAGGAACUGCCGGUGAAAAACCGGAGGAAGGUGGGGAUGACGUCAAAUCAUCAUGCCCUUUAUGUCCUGGGCUACACACGUGCUACAAUGGCCGGUACAGAGGGCUGCGAAGGAGCGAUCCGGAGCGAAUCCCUAAAAGCCGGUCUCAGUUCGGAUUGCAGGCUGAAACCCGCCUGCAUGAAGUUGGAAUCGCUAGUAAUCGCGAGUCAGCAUAUCGCGGUGAAUACGUUCCCGGGUCUUGCACACACCGCCCGU